rnacentral:rRNA from 1 species
GGUGUCUAUGGCAAUGAGGUCACACCUGUUCCCUUUCCGAACACAGUAGUUAAGCUCAUUCGCGCCUAAAAUACUUGGCUGGAGACGGCCUGGGAAGAUUGGUCGAUGCCG